UGCAGGUCUCCGCCGGGUCCCGCCGCCCCGGAGCGCUGUCCGCUCCGCGGCGGCCCUAGUCCGCCGGCGUCCAGCCGGGGGCCUCGGGCCCGCGCUGCAGCGAGCGGGUGGCGGGCGCCCGAGGGCCGCCGGCUCCGCCUCAUGCUCGAACCCCGCAGAGGAGACCCCCGGCCCAGCCGGAGCCCCUCGUCUUGGGCUUGCACCGCGUGUCUGCCCGCUGCCGCGCUGAAAUCCUGGCAGGGGAAACACCACCACCUGGCUGGGUCCAAGAAGGCAGCUUUCCUUAAGCUCUCCGGGAUAACUGUUCUUCUGGCUUGGCUUAGUAGCCGCCAAGGUGCUGGGGCUUAAUGCCCGCUGCAUGGAAACGGGAGGCUCCUCCCUAGCUUGCUCCUGCGGCCAUGUGGCUGACGGCUGGGGAAACUUGGGGGCAUCCAAGCCCCGAGCCUCCAGACUUGGGCCUGCAGGUCCGUAGUGGGUACUACUAGCUGUUUCCACUUGUUGCUGAUUCCUCGUACUCCAGAGAACACUGCUACUCUCCCGUGGAAGUGCGCUACCUCUCUAUGAUUUUGUGACGUCAAGGGAGAGGGCUUCCUACAGCUGAUAUACAUCACUUUUACGGAGUGCAAAAUGCAUAUACUGGAGUGCAAAAUGCUGGGGAGCAGAUGUGACAGGGCUCACUCCCCCUUUCAUCCAGCCCAGGUGUCUGCCUGCUAUGGCUUCUGGUAGGAGCCAAAGAUCCCUCUAAGGUGCAUGCAUGUACAGUCAUGCACAACUAGAAGUCUAAGCUCCAAGGUGAGGCGGGGGCAGAGGUGGGGGCCUGGUAUGGGCUCUGCCAGCUCCGGCGAACUGCUCUGUGGGCUCCAUGGAAGUGCUCCACUCCCUGGCCCUGACGCCACGUACCUCCUCGCUCCCCGAAUCGAAGAGGUGGAACAGAGCAGUUUCCCCAGCCUCCAGCCCCCUUUGCGGCUGCUGCUUCUACCCAACCUGUCAUGAUGCUGGAAUGUGGACAAAGUAAUCAUUGUCAUGGCAACACAAGAUGACUGUGACAACAGUGCAAAAACCAACUAGUAAAAGAGGAAGCUCCAACUCAGGUGCAAAUCUAAACAGCCUUUCAUUGGAAGAUACAAGCAGAACUGGGAGAAAGGAAUGGACUAGAGAAAGGAAAAUGCUGGAUGACUCCCUUGAUUACAGCGAGUGGCCUCAUUUGCUUUUAAUUCUAGUCAUGUAACCAGCCCAAAGAGACAAAGGCAGUUCCUACACAUAGUACAUUAAGGGGCUAUAGUCAGCACUUUCUCUAGAUGCAGCAGUCGCAACCUAGCAUGGGGCUGAAAGAUCAACUUUGCUUUGCCAUAGCCCCAUGAAAAUCCACCUUGCUAUCUGGGGCUGGCCUGCACAGAAUUUUUUUUUUUUUUAUUUAAAAAGCAAAUGACUCACAUACUCUCUCAAUGCUAGGAGCAUUGAGCAUUUUUCUUAAAACAUCAAAUAUUCCAAGGCUUGCAACCCUUUUUCUUGUACAAGUCUUUGUGUGGACAGUACUUUGGAAGCAGAAACAUUUUAAAGUGCAGUUACAUCAAAAUAGGGCAUUCUGUGAACUAAGUGCUCACACUGACUGCAACAACAUACCAAGAGGUAUGAAUUACACAUGUAGUUGUUUCAGUGGCAGUACAAUUACACUUAGACCCCUCAUGGGAGGCUGGAUACUCACACUGCAAAGUCCAGUACUGUGCAUUAUUGAUUCCCCCUUUGAUGCUAAUCACUUGACAAUAUACUCCACAACAUGUGUGCCUCUGCAUGACUUUGAAUCUGAUCUUUGUGGACUCUAACACAGCAGAGAGUAAAACAUUUGCACAUAACUAACUUGGG